rnacentral:rRNA from 1 species
GACGAACGCUGGCGGCGUGCUUAACACAUGCAAGUCGAACGGAAAGGCCCUGCUUUUGUGGGGUGCUCGAGUGGCGAACGGGUGAGUAACACGUGAGUAACCUGCCCUUGACUUUGGGAUAACUUCAGGAAACUGGGGCUAAUACCGGAUAGGAGCUCCUGCUGCAUGGUGGGGGUUGGAAAGUUUCGGCGGUUGGGGAUGGACUCGCGGCUUAUCAGCUUGUUGGUGGGGUAGUGGCUUACCAAGGCUUUGACGGGUAGCCGGCCUGAGAGGGUGACCGGCGACAUUGGGCCUGAGAUACGGCCCAGUCGCCUACGGGAGGCAGCAGUCGGGAAUAUUGCACAAUGGGCGGAAGCCUGAUGCAGCAACGCCGCGUGCGGGAUAACGUGCUUCUGGUUGUAAACCGCUUUCGCCUGUGACGAAGCGUGCUUGACGGUAAUUGGUAAAGAAGCACCGGCUAACUACGUG